UGAGGAUCAAGGAACUUCUGGUCCUGAUCUGUAUACUGUAAAAACUCUUCAUACAACACAAUUAAUCCAUAAAAUAAAUUUAUUGUUAAAUAAAUUACUUGUAUGGACGUUAAUCCCGCACCAUACUUUAAAUGUGCGGUAAAGUAAACGUGCUUGUAUGGGCACUAAUUCUGCUCCAUACAUUUAAAUGACAGUAAAGACGUGGACGAUAAACCCGCACCACCCUUUAAAGUAAAUUUACGAUAAAGUAAAUGUCAGUAAAUGUCAGUAAAUGUCAGUAGUGAAUUUACGAUAAAGUAAAUGUCAGUAAAUGUCAGUAGUGAAUUUACGAUAAAGUAAAUGUCAGUAAAUGUCAGUAAAUGUCAGUAAAUGUCAGUAAAUGCGUGGACGAUAAACCCGCACCACCCUUUAAAGUAAAUUUACGAUAAAGUAAAUGUGCUUGUAUGGGUAAUAAACCUACACCAUACAGUAAAUAAAAUAAUUGCAGAAUGGAUAAAGUAAAGACAAUUAUUUGUGGGUUCAUAUCAACACCACAAUUAAAUAAUAUAAUAGAUAAUAUUAUUAUCGUUUGUGGAAGGCAUCAUGAUUGUCUCUCAAAUCAAUUGCUUUCCUCCUGUAAUCUGCACACCUGCACUUAUAUUGAUAUUAAAUAGUAUAGAUUCUUCUCAAAACCAUAAUGAAAUAAUAUAAUAAUAUACUAGCUAUAUUGCAUAACAUAAAUAAACAAAUACCAC
rnacentral:lncRNA from 1 species